rnacentral:rRNA from 1 species
GACGAACGCUGGCGGCGUGCUUAACACAUGCAAGUCGAACGGAAAGGCCCUGCUCUUGUGGGGUGCUCGAGUGGCGAACGGGUGAGUAACACGUGAGUAACCUGCCCCUGACAUUGGGAUAAAUUCAGGAAACAGGGGAUAAUACCGGAUAGGAGCUCCUGCAGCAUGGGGGGGGUUGGAAAGAUUCGGCGGUGGGGGAUGGACUGGCUGGUUAUCAGCUUGUUUGUGGGGUAGGGGCGUACCACGGCUUUGACGGGUAGCCCGCCUGAGAGGGUGGCCGGGCACAUUGGUCCUGCGAGACGGCCCAGUCUCCUACGGGCCGCAGUGGUCGAGAGUCUUGCGGAGUGGCGCCGAGCCUGAUGCGGCGGUCCCGCGUGCGUGAUACUGUCUUUCGGGUUGUGAACCGCUUUCGCCUUUAAUGUACCCUGAUUGACGGUACUUGGUAAGAAAGCACCGGCUAACUACGUG